rnacentral:lncRNA from 1 species
CGAUUCACAGUCACAGUGCUCUCACACCUCUCUCUCUCCUCUAUCAUGCGAUUCACGCCUCUCUCUCUCAAUGCUCUCUAAGCCAUCAGCCCUCGCCGCCGGCCACACCAUCGGCACUGAAACCACCAUCACCGGACACGAAUCCCACCACCACCACCCCUCUCUCACUCCUCUUUCCUUCCGGCGGGGGUCAACCCACGCACUGAUCAACCGCCAACGGUACGAAUUCACCCCUCUCUCUUCUUCCUCUACCGAGUCACCGUUCGGUUCGUCAAAACCCGUCGACGUUGACGGUAGAGGUUGAACGCGGGUUUUGUGCAGGUUAGUCCGGUUUAUAUACUUACCGGGUUAAAGGGGUGAGGACCGUUUCUUCGGGCUUUUUGCUGUCGACGGUUCAACGGUAUCGAACCGGCCCGGGUUCGGUCGGGUUUUUAAAACAGUAGUGCAUUUUGUGAUUUGCCAGUGGAUGCGAUGAGUUGGAUUUCAUACCUUCAAGCCAUUUUUCCGUUAGACUAGGCUGGGGAAUAAUUAAUUUCUAAACCCGGCUUGGCCCGGCCCGAAUAUCUAUUAUAUUAUUUAUUUUAUAUUAUUGUUAGUGCAACUAUUUAAAUAUUAAAAAGAAAAAUUGAAAAAUUAAAGAAAAAGUGGUUAUAUUUUACUUGGUAUCAUAUUCAUGAAAAAUAUAUGCUUGGACUAGACUUAAAAAUAUUUUUAUUUUUGUGUAAAAUUUAUAGUUAAUGUGAUCACUUUAUUUUGUAAACUAUACAAAAUUCUUUUAAGUACUAAAGAAAACUAGUUUGUUUAAAUUUUUCUUUAAGUACAAUAAAAUAUGAAUGGUAUAAUCAAUUUUAAACAAAAUUAGAAUUAAUAAAAUAUAAAUACUUAAAUAUAUUUAAUGUAUGGGAGUUUGAACCAAUAGAUUUAGUGAGGGGGCUUGAAAAAUUAAAAAUAUUUAGGAUUGAGUUUGAGAAUUCAAUAUUAGGCCUGCGUUGAAUUGGAUCGAGCUUGGAUAAAUAUAAAUUUUCUUAAUGUUUCGGAAUUAUACGUGGUGAUUUUUAAACAUGAAGGGGAUACUACACGCAUGGCCCAAAGGACAAGCGAUGCAGAAUGAAAUUUGCCGCCCCCACCUCCCCCGAAAAAAAAACAAAAGAAUUCGUGGAGGUACUGCAUAUGCACCUUUUACAGUCUUGUUCAAUCUCAAAGUGGAUUUAUAUAAUGAUUGAAAGUGCAACAUUGUUCCCUUCAUGUAUUUACCCUGGCCUAUUAUCAAUUGUAAUAUGUAAGUAUAUACUAGACAGGGAAGUUCUCAGAUAACCAAUACUAUUCGACAAGAGUGGUAUUAUUUUAUCUAUUAGUUUUAUAGAGCAAAUUUUAUGAAACUUUAUAAUAUAUAUAAUAUAAUAAGAUAUUCAAGAAAAAAAGAAAAUUGUUAGGGUUUUAAUUUAGGGUUCACAAAUUACAUAAUUCAUGAAAAAAAUCAAUUUGAUUGGAUAGUUUUAAGGAUCAGUUUUGUAUUAAAAAAAAUAAAUUACAGACCAAGAACUAAAUCACAUAAAAUGAUCAAGAAACUUAAGUGUAUAGACGAGAUUUGUAAUGGUUGUGCCUCACUAUACACUAAUAUUGAAUUUACACUUUGUAUUUAUUUUCUCGACCAUUUUAAGUUGUUUAAUUUUUGAUCUCUAAUAUAUUUUUUAAAAAAAUAAAAAAUUAUAAUUUUUUAUUACGGUUUUUAGUAUAAUUGUUCAUUUUAUUCAUACAAAACUAAUUUGAAUAUGCGAGUUAUUUACUUGGAUCAUAGUGAGUUCAAGCGUGGGCGUUGCCUUCAAAUAUACGAGUUAAUAAAGACACUUUUUAAAAAUUAAGGGUAAAUGACAUUAAACUCCUCACAAAUGUGAUCCAUUUCUGAGUUACCUCUACUGUUCAAACUCUUACACUUAGCUUUGUUCCCGUAUUUAUGGGAUGGCAUUAACCCCUUCCGUUAAGAAAUUGUUAGGAAUUUGGAUGGAAAAAUCAUGUGACUACCACAUGACUAGGUAAAUGAGACUUUUUUUUAACUAGAUUGUCCUUCAUUUUGGUUCAUAUAUUAUGUUAGACAUCCAAACAAGGUCUUAUGUACAUACAUACAUAUGUGCAUAUAAUCUAUAUUAUUAUAAUAAGGCAAUGCGUUAUUCGGUGAAACCUCAAAUUUUGUGUGACAAUCAGAUAUUUGUAUAUAAAAGAUAGCCUAAAUAAAUUGAAAAAUUCAGCAUGUUUACCUUUAAAUGUUAAAGAACUGACAGGGUUAAAAGAGUAAAAUUACCGCACAAUUUUCACAACUAUUUAGGAUCCAACUUUCACAUGUUUAUACUUCUUUCCCACUUCUACGAAAGCCGAUACAGUUUGAAACUCUGAAACUCUUUACGAGUUACAAACUUCCACAUUACCUUUGUAAUUCUCAAUUCUGCAACCAAAUACACCUCUUCCAGCAAAUUUUCUUCCGUUGAACACUUUAAACCUUUGUUUUUUAUAUCGCUUAUGCUACUGUGCAUGUGCUGAAGGUUAAAGAAAAGGGCCACUGAAUAUGCGGCAUCUAUGAUAUAAAACACAAAUAUUUUUGAAUCUUUUAAAUUAUCUUUCACUAUCUAUGUUAAGAAUCCAUUUUAGUUAAUCUAAUGCCUGAGAUUUCACGUAAGACUAUUUUUUUUUAAAAAAAAUAUUAUUUUUUUUUUCAAAUGUGUUGUGAUCAAAUGGUUAAAAAACUUUUAAAAUGGGCAUAUUUUUUACACAUUGAAUUAUUUUGUAGUGGGAACCCACAAAAACAAACAAAUUAAAACACCCCUUUUUUCCCCUCAUUUCUUCUAUACUAGCAAUACUUUUUCAAAAUUAUUAUACUUUCUAAUUUAUUCUCUAUUUUAUAACAAUAUAUUUCUUUAUAUAUGCUUGGACUUAUUUUAAAUGACUAAAAAUUUAACAAGUACAUCUAAAAAUUUUACUAGUCGGAGGUUAAAUUUGAACAAGACAUUAAAAGAAAGAAAAGCCAAAGGAAUCAAGAAUGUGAUAAAUAACUUUCUAUCUCUUACGUAAGUCUUUACCCAGAAAGAAAAGCAAGAUUUUGUAGGUAAAGCAAGAUUUUGUAGUUACCUAACGAGAGCCUUUAAUCACACCCCUCCUGACACACACCCUCGUGGGUCCCAAUCCUUUUUUUCAUGUUGAAUUAACCAAUUACCCCUCACCCCUCUCACUCUUACACCUCUCUUCCAGGCGGGCCCCCACUCCCUUAUUAUUACCCAGCCGCCCCCCCCCCCCCACGCAACACCCCAUCUCGCCACUUGUCCAUCCCCAUCCCUUUCAAAAAAAACAAAACAAACCAACACAAACCGCCCACCCCCACCGCCUCCAUGCGCCACUUGUCCCUCCCCCCCUUUGACCGCCACCACCACCCCUAGCUCGCCAUUUGUCACUUGCAGGACCACUUUCACUUCAGCCCCACCCCCACCCCUCCAACCCUCCAGCUGUAAUUUUUUUUUAAAUUUUUUUAAUUUUUGAACCUAAUUGUUUUCUAUAUAUACAUGAAGAUCAUAUGUUCAUUCUUCCAAAACUUAUUUUACUACUUCAUUUGCAUCGUAGUUAGUUACCAUUAUUUUUCCAAAAUUCAUAGGUUAGCACUAUGGAUGACUCAAUCGUAAAUAGUUGGACCCUGAGAGUGAUAUUCCAAAUGUAGAAAAUGUCUCCCAUCUAGUCGUGACUAUACAGCUGCAAUUUACCACUGAUCAGGUAAGUAUUUGUUUUUCUUGUUUUAUAAUACUAGUAAUUUUUUAUUAUACUAUCAUUUUAUUUAAAUUAUAUCUACUACGUUGUACUAAUGCAUAUUGUUUUAUUUACUGACGAUUUUUCAAGGUAAGAGACGAAAUGUUCAAUUGCGUGCGCAUGUUGGUCCAAAAUGGCAUGGUGGUGGUUUAACGGUCUGCUAAUUUGAAAGGCGGCAACUCCCUAAUACAUUUCUUGGUUGUGAUAGAGGAAAGUAUGACCUCACCAUCAUCUCUGAAGGGCAACCUUACAAAGAAAUCCUGGAACCAAACAAUAUGAUGCCCAUUUGAGCUUGGCGAGGUCUAGCAUCCCUCCAAUGGUGUCAUUUGGGUUUAAUGGUGAAGUGCGGUUUUCAUAACCAUGAAACCGCAAAAUAUCUUGAUGUCCGAGUACCCAUCUAGGCUCAAACAGUGGAGAAACAAUUUUGUGUCGAGAUUGGCUUGGAGUACAAAACCUCGUAAAAUUCUCAAUGUCCUCAAAGAAAGGUCCUCUGCAAAAUACCACGGGAAUUCAGAGCUUACACACUAACGCCCGACAAAAGUGCGCACGUGGUGGGCCUAUCCUACGCACAUGUCUUGGACCAUUAUUAGGCCGAAGCUACCUCCAUGCCGUUUCAUUGACAAUCAGCGACGACGAAAUUACAGAUUUGUUUGGGUCAUCCUAAAAGCGUGAUCUAUAUAUUACUUCCCUACUUGUGCUGAUCCUUGAUGGCAACUACCAUACAAAUGAGUCUCGAAUACCGUUUUUGGAGGUGUUGGUAUCACACGACAAUGCAAACAUACUCCUAUGUUUUGCAUAUCUUGCUAAUGAGAAGUCUGAUCGACUAACAUAUGCCCUUGGUACGUUGACGAACUUGUGGUUUUGAAAAGGAAGCAUUGAUGCAUCAUUCUUGUUAUCAUAUAGGAAUUUGGCGCUUUUAUGAAGGCCAUCGGAACAUGUUUUCCAAUGGCACGUCACAUCCUUUGUCUCUGACACAUAACCAGAACUUUGGUGAAGUCUGCAGCCCAAUUCUUGGUUCAAAGAUGCCGCGAUUUUAUGCGCCUCAUGACACUCGCUAAGCAAGUCAUCUCACCAGAGUCUUACCAACAUAAGUGGCACAUCCUUCUAGUAAGUUAAAUCCUACCCGCGUGCAACGAAAUCCUCGGGAAACAUGGUUAAGCCGACAAGAGCGGUUCGUAAUGCGUGGUUAAUACUUGCUGCACUUGGGAAGCAAU